CCACGGUGUCUUAUUGGUUGG
rnacentral:siRNA from 1 species